AGCUUUGUGCAGUGGCAGUAUCAUAGCCAAUGAGGUUUAUCUGAGGUACAAUUAUUGCUAAUUGAAAAUAAAGAAA
rnacentral:snRNA from 1 species